CAAUGAAUUGUCAGAUUGUUAUUGAAUAGUCGUAAACAAGCAAUUUCAAAAAGGAAAGGGCUUUAGAAUUGAAGCUUGGUUGAUAAAGAUAGCCGUAGUAUUAAGAUCCAAAUUUGUAAAUGACAGACAAUAGCAAAAGUAGUAUGGAAAGCUGCACAACUUUCCCUUAUUUUAAAAAUAUUUUCAGUUUGAUAGAAUACAAAUGGAUAGAAGACAAACAUUGCGAUUGUUAGCUGCGCAGUUGGUACAAAACCACUACUUUUUAAAUUUUUUUUUAAAUUAAAAUUUUUUAUAUAAAAUUGCAUAUUUCAAAAUGAAAAAUAUCGGCGAAACAGACUCAAGUUAAAAAUGAUCAAGAAAAAAUAUUUUUUGUAUACAGACAAUUCCAAUGCCCGAAGUGUGACAACAGUGAGACCUAUGGACAAGGACCUUCCAAGGGCAGGGGAUUAAAUCUUUUAAUUUCCAAUAAUCUUUCAUGAAAGUCGAUGAAUGUAUCAAUUAAAUAAAAAAUGUGUCUUAAUAUGUUUUAUA